GCGAGAGUAGUUCAGUUGGCUAGAAUGUCUGCUUCCCAAGCAGAAGGUCGCGGGUUCGAAUCCCGUCUCUCGCU
rnacentral:tRNA from 1 species